UGGGGAAUUUUCCGCAAUGGGCGAGAGCCUGACGGAGCAAUGCCGCGUGGAGGUGGAAGGCCUACGGGUCGUCAACUUCUUUUCUCGGAGAAGAAACAAUGACGGUAUCUGAGGAAUAAGCAUCGGCUAACUCUGUGCCUG
rnacentral:rRNA from 1 species